rnacentral:misc_RNA from 1 species
GAUGAAGAACGUAGCGAAAUGCGAUAAGUAAUGUGAAUUGCAGAAUUUAGUGAAUCAUCGAAUCAUUGAACGCAUAUUGCGCCCGCCAGCACUCUGGCGGGCAUGCCUGUUCGAGCGUCAUUACAACCCUCAGGCCCCCGGGCCUGGCGUUGGGGAUCGGCGGAGCCCCCCGUGGGCACACGCCGUCCCCCAAAUGCAGUGGCGGUCCCGCCGCAGCUUCCAUCGCGUAGUAGCUAACACCUCGCGACUGGAGAGCGGCGCGGCCACGCCGUAAAACACCCAACUCUUCUGAAGUUGACCUCGAAUCAGGUAGGAAUACCCGCUGAACUUAAGCAUAUCAAUAAGCGGAGGA